CUCCCAUUUCCGUCUCUCAUGUUGGCAGCCGUUGCACUACGGUUCGAAGAUGUUAAGGAUCGAAUAAUUGUCUUGUGCAAUGACCAGUGCCGAUAGUGAUAAACCGCUUAAAACAUGUAGGAAAGAGGAGAUUACAACAAGUCAUCCUUGAUGUUGGUAUUUCUGUUGGAACUUUAUUAGUCCUAGUGGUUGUGCUCGCUUGUGUUUUCCGGCAGAGGAGAAGGAUCAAGGCCAACAAGGAAAACCAAGAUAAUGCAGGGGAUGGCAUGAACUAUAUUAGUCUGGAAGCGUUAAGAGCUGCAACAUCCAAUUUUUCUAUAAACAAUAAACUGGGAGAAGGAGGAUUCGGAGAGGUGUUUAAGGGCGAAUUGCAGGAUGGAACCAAAAUAGCCGUCAAAAGGCUCUUAAAGGACUCUGCUCAAGGGCUCGAUGAGUUGAAAAAUGAGCUAAUGUUAGCUAACAGACUUAAGCACAAGAAUCUGGUGCAGCUUCUCGGCGUUUGCUUGCGAGAGAAAUUGAUGGUGUACGAAUACAUGCCUAAUGGAAGCCUACACACGAGCCUUUUCAGUAAUCCUCCCUGUCCCAACUCAUCUUGUUAAAACUUUAGUACAGCUAGCUAUACACCCCUAGUCCGCAUAUUCUGCUGUUUUUAGUUCGAGUGGUGCAUGUAUGUCACAGGUUCAGAGAAGG